GGAACACAUUGGCUCCAAGACACUUCCUCUGAUUUAGAAAGGCAAAGUCCUGGAUAAGAAUGACAAGAUGAUAAUUCCAAAAGGACAAAUCCUGAUGAUUUUCUCUGGGACUUCUAAUAGAUAAGCUCCUCGCUCCAGAACCAUUGCACUUUCAAGGUAAACUCUAUAUGCGGUUCUGUGGCAUUUGCUGAUAAUAAGAAUUUGCCUCUUUCAAAAUUAUAUUCAGUCAUGGAUGCUAAUGAUGACUCCGAUGAAGAUUAUCUUACAAGUUAUGAUGUUCAACUCAGUAUUCAAGAAUCCACUGAAGCCAGCAAGACUGUAUUUUAUCCUGAAAGAUUUGUACCACUAAGUGAUCAAACGAGAAAGCUGGUGGAGGCCAUAAAGCAAGGUUGCAUUCUUGAGCUCCAGGAGUAUGUGAAAUAUAAAUAUGCAUUGGAUGAAGCUGAUGAAAAAGGAUGGUUUCCAUUGCAUGAAGCUGUUGUUCAACCCAUUCGACAAAUACUUGAGGUUGUCCUGGAUGCAUCCUAUAAGACGCUCUGGGAGUUCAAGACCUCUGAUGGAGAAACACCCUUGACUUUGGCAGUCAAAGCUGGUCUGGUGGAAAAUGUAAGAACCUUACUAGAGAAAGGAGUGUGGCCAAACACCAAAAAUGACAAAGGAGAGACACCCCUUCUGCUUGCUGUAAAAAAGGGCUCCUAUGACAUGGUGUCUGUCCUGCUUCAACACCACACCAGCCUUGACCAGCCCUGUGUCAAGCAAUGGUCAGCAAUGCAUGAAGCAGCCAAACAAGGCCGCAAAGAUAUAAUAGCUCUACUACUAAACCACAGAGGCAAUGUCCACCUAAGAGACAGAUUUGGAGUCACCCCAUUAGGUGUUGCGGCCGAGUAUGGUCACUGUGAUGUGUUGGAACACCUGAUCCACAAAGGAGGGGAUGUGCUUGCUUUGGCGGAUGACGGGGCAUCAGUGUUGUUUGAGGCAGCAGGAGGGGGCAACCCUGACUGCGUCUCCCUCCUGCUGGAAUAUGGAGGAAGUGGAAAUAUACCUAACAGAGCAGGGCAUCUUCCUAUACACCGAGCUGCCUACGAGGGACAUUAUCUUGCACUGAAAUAUCUUAUUCCAGUAACAUCCAAACAUGCAAUCCAGAAAAGUGGGCUAACGCCAAUCCACUCAGCAACAGAUGGACAAAAUGCGCAGUGCCUAGAACUGCUUAUUGAAAAUGGCUUUGAUGUCAAUACGCUGCUUGCUGACCACAUUUCCAAGAGCUAUGAUGAUGAACGGAAGACUGCCCUCUAUUUCGCCGUUUGCAAUAAUGAUAUCCACUGCAUAGAAGUCCUCCUGGCUGCAGGUGCAGACCCAAACUUAGAUCCCCUCAACUGUCUUCUUGUGGCAGUGAGGGCCAACAAUCAUGAAAUUGUCAGGCUGCUUCUCGCCCAUGGAGCUGAUGUCAAUUGUUAUUUCAGGCAUGUGAAUGACACUCAUUUCCCCAGUGCCAUUCAGUAUGCCCUAAAUGACGAGGUAAUGCUCAGGCUGUUGCUGAAUAACGGCUAUCAAGUGGAGAUGUGCUUUGACUGCAUGCACGGGGACAUCUUUGGAAAUGCGACUGUAUGGUCAGAGAUAGAGGAAGAGGUACUGCCGAGAUGGAUGUCUUGUGUCGUAAAAGAUAACCCGUUCUGUGAGUUUAUUACAGUUCCUUGGAUGAAACACUUGGUAGGCCGCGUUAUUCGUGUAUUAAUGGAUUACAUGGAUUAUAUCCCUCUGUGUGUUAAACUGAAAUCUGCACUAGAAGUACAGAGAGAAUGGCCAGAAAUCCGUCAAAUACUAGAGUCUCAUACAUUAAAAUAUAUAAUCUGAAUUUGGAUCAUUUUGACUAUGGUAGCAAGAGACGUAAAUUGGAGGAAGAAUGGAGACUUUGAUGGGCUAGAAAGAGUGAUAGUUCAACUGAAUGCAGAUUUGGAGAGAAUCCCUGCUCCUUAAAGCAUUUAUGUAGGUUAAGAAUUCGAAGACUAAUGGGACUCCAGCGACUCUGCCAGCC